CCUACGGGAGGCUGCAGUGGGGAAUAUUGCACAAUGGGGGAAACCCUGAUGCAGCGACGCCGCGUGAGGGAUGAAGUAUUUCGGUAUGUAAAGCUCUAUCAGCAGGGAAGAAAAUGACGGUACCUGACUAAGAAGCCCCGGCUAACUACGUGCCAGCAGCCGCGGUAAUACGUAGGGGGCAAGCGUUAUCCGGAUUUACUGGGUGGAAAGGGAGCGUAGACGGGCGUGCAAGUCUGGGGUGAAAGGCCGGGGCUCAACCCCCGGAGUGCUCUGGAAACUGUACGGCUGGAGUGCAGGAGAGGUAAGCGGAAUUCCUAGUGUAGCGGUGAAAUGCGUAGAUAUUAGGAGGAACACCAGUGGCGAAGGCGGCUUACUGGACUGUAACUGACGUUGAGGCUCGAAAGCGUGGGGAGCAAACAGGAUUAGAUACCCCUGUAGUC
rnacentral:rRNA from 1 species